CCUUCCCUUUUUCGUGACUGAAUCCUCCACUCGAUCAGUCCGCCAAUUUUGACUCCGAUGAUUCAUCUCCCAUCCUUAUCUCCAUGUGGAAAGCUACUCAUCUCCCCAAAUCUCUACUUGAUUUAGGUUUUCUUUUUCGCUCAAGGAAAAAAGGACAGGGUUUUACUUAUUGCGAAAGGAGAAAGUCAGAGCUUGAAUUUGUUGGGGAAUGGGAAUCAGAGGUUGAUCAAUUUGCUGGGGAUUUGAAUCCAUCAAGGUUGAUUAUUUAGGAAAAGAGAAAUUCAGAGCUAUGAAGAGAAGAUUUGGCAAGGAAGGGAGGAGUUGGGAGGGGGUGGUGGUGGUGGUCAGGAGUUGGGAACUUAAAAAAAUGGUGGAGCUGGAAACGGAAAAGAGGGCAGGGGUUAAGCUGCCGUUUGCAGCAAGAACAAAACGUCGUCGUGUCUCUAAAGAAUUUGGGAGUAGCAGAACUGGGCUUCACCUGAGCCGUCAGAUGGGCUCAUUAAUGCGUUGUCAACAUCUAGUCAAAAGGUGCGGAAGAUGUGUGGAGAGAAACGUGGGGAGAGGAUCCGGAUCCAUAGCCAAUACGGUUCAGUAUAGAUCGGUAGGAUACUGGAACGAAAUUAGAGGUAUAGGGUACCGAAAAUGGCCAAUAUCAUAACGGGAUUGAGAACCUUGAUUAAAAUUUAAAACCUAGAAACGCUAGGGGAUUAUGCAAAACCAAAACAGCAAAGGAAAAGAAACCCAAGAUUAAUUUCUAGAUCUACGGGAGAGAAAAAAAAAAUCACGAAUAAACCCCUGAAUUCAUUCAUUGAAAGAACACGUGAACACAUUCGAAAUCCACAAACACAUUCUUGUUUGUUUCACAGCAAGAUCAAAUCAUAUACUCCCAUAUAUCAUCAGACAAUAGAAUAAAGAAUGAACUCGGUGGUGUCGACGCCGCCCCCAACAACGACGGCCUUGGAUGCGCAGUUUCCCAUCUGGGUGGUUGACACGUUGCCGCCGGCUUUGCUUCCUCCUCCGCCGCCGCCGUGGCGGCCGUCGGGUUGGUGGUGGUUGUCGGCGGCGUUGGCCGGAGGGUGGUAGUACAUCCGGGCCGUAUGGGGGCAGUGGGAAUGAAAUCUUGCCGCUAUCCUCACCCCUGCGUCUAACAACUCUGCGUAUUUCGACAUCCCUGCUUUUUAUUUCUCUUUCUAUACGUAUCUGGGUGUUUGUAUGGAUUUGGGUUUGCGUGUGAUCUUUCUCUCUCUCUGUGAGAUUUUAGAGAGAGAGAGAGAGAGAGAACGGAGAGAAAAUUAUCAGAAGACGGCCCAGGGGUCAGAGCCCAUGAAACGGAAGAGACAAAGAGGGGUUUGCGGUGGAAAGAGAGGGGAGGAGCCAAUGUUUGCAAUUUAUAGCUGACCUUUCUCCUCUCGUCUCUCUCUC